rfam:Tetrapisispora blattae CBS 6284 chromosome 6, complete genome
GUCGACGUACUUCAUAGGAUCAUUUCUAUAGGAAUCGUCACUCUUUGACUCUUAAAAUGAGCCAUUGAAUCCAACUUGGUUGAUGAGCCAAAAUACCUUCAUGCCCAAGAGUGAGAACCACAGAAUAAUGUAUUGAAAGUUUAUGCUAGUUUGGUUCCGUAAUCCUUAGCGGUUCGGUCAUCUGGUUUUCUUUACGCUUUUUGUUUUGCUGUUUGCUGUGUUGCUUUUGUAGCACGUUUAAAAUGGCGCGAUGAUCUUGGCCCAGUCUGUGAGCUUCUCUUCGUAGAAGUGACAGUGCUAUCUGGGUGGGUGUGAAUGGCAGUCUGACAAGU